AGAAUCAACGCUGGCGGCGUGCCUAACACAUGCAAGUCGCACGAGAAAGGGUAGCAAUAUCUGAGUACAGUGGCGCACGGGUGAGUAACACGUGACUAACCUACCCUCGAGUGGGGAAUAACCUAGGGAAACCUGGGCUAAUACCGCAUAACACUUACGAGUCAAAGCAGCAAUGCGCUUGGGGAGGGGGUCGCGGCCGAUUAGCUAGUUGGCGGGGUAAUGGCCUACCAAGGCAAUGAUCGGUAUCCGGCCUGAGAGGGCGCACGGACACACUGGAACUGAAACACGGUCCAGACUCCUACGGGAGGCAGCAGUGGGGAAUUUUGCGCAAUGGGGGAAACCCUGACGCAGCAACGCCGCGUGGAGGAUGAAGUCUCUUGGGACGUAAACUCCUUUCGAUUGGAAGAUAAUGAGGUACCAAUAGAAGAAGCCCGGCUAACUUCGCGCCAGCAGCCGC
rnacentral:rRNA from 1 species